rnacentral:rRNA from 1 species
CGGAAUUACUGGGCGUAAAGCGCGCGUAGGCGGCUUUGUAAGUUAGAGGUGAAAGCCCGGGGCUCAACCCCGGAACUGCCUUUAAGACUGCAUCGCUUGAAUCCGGGAGAGGUGAGUGGAAUUCCGAGUGUAGAGGUGAAAUUCGUAGAUAUUCGGAAGAACACCAGUGGCGAAGGCGGCUCACUGGACCGGUAUUGACGCUGAGGUGCGAAAGCGUGGGGAGCGAACAGG